rnacentral:tRNA from 1 species
AGGAUAAUAGUUUAACUAAAACAUUUAACUUGCACUUAAAAAAUAUUGAUACAAUCAAAUUAUCUU